UGGGGUUAAGCUUUUUGUUCCAAAGAGGUUAAGCUGUUGGUUUUGGGUUUUGAAGGAAUUUCUUAGUUGAGUGGGUUUUCUUGGUGUGUUUAGCUGAAAAGAAGUUUUGUAGUAGGAAAGCAACUUGUUGGGACUGAAACCUGAGGUAAAGUGAUGUAAUUGCUGGUUUCGAUUAGGUUAAUUCUCUAAAAAGGGUUUAAGUUAUGGAUUUUAGGGUUCUAAAGUAUAUAGAUGCUAUGUAAAUGCUAUGUGAACCUAGAAAUGGUAUUAUGGACAGUAUACAUGUAAAUUCUUGGUUAGAAAGGAAAGCAGAGAUGGGUUGGUUGCUGGGGUUUGUUCUAAUUA
rnacentral:lncRNA from 1 species